rnacentral:RNase_P_RNA from 1 species
GCGGGGGGCCGGAUGGCCGCGGGUAUACAGGCCCGAGGAAAGUCCGGACUCCGGGAAGCAACGGUGCCGGGUAACGCCCGGGCGGAGCAAUCCGACGGAAAGCGCCACAGAAAACAGACAGCCCCGAUACCGGGGUGAUGGUGAAACGGUGGGGUAAGAGCCCACCGCGCCCCUGGCAACAGGGGCGGCACGGCAAGCCCCACCGGGAGCAAUGCCAAAUAGGAACCACGCGGGGGGAUCCCCCCCAGGGCCGCUUCUGCCCCAGUGGUUCGGGUUGGCAGCACGAGCCCGCGGGCAACCGCAGGGCCCAGAGGAAUGGCCAUCCCUUCCCUCCUGCAGGGGGGGGGAACGGACAGAAUCCGGCUUACAGGCCCCCCGCGCAC